rnacentral:rRNA from 1 species
AGUGAACGCUGGCGGUAGGCCUAACACAUGCAAGUCGAACGGCAGCACAGGAGAGCUUGCUCUCUGGGUGGCGAGUGGCGGACAGGUGAGGAAUACAUCGGAAUCUACUCUGUCGUGGGGGAUAACGUAGGGAAACUUACGCUAAUACCGCAUACGACCUACGGGUGAAAGCAGGGGAGCUUCGGGGCUUGAGCGAUUGAAUGCGCCGAUGUCGGAUUAGCUAGUUGGCGGGGUAAAGGCCCACCAAGGCGAAGAUACGUAGCUGGUCUGAGAGGAUGAUCAGCCACACUGGAACUGAGACACAGUCCAGACUCCGACGGGAGGCAGCAGUGGGGAAUAUUGGACAAUGGGCGCAAGCCUGAUCCAGCCAUACCGCGUGGGUGAAGAAGGCCUUCGGGUUGUAAAGCCCUUUUGUUGGGAAAGAAAUCCAGCUGGCUAAUACCCGGUUGGGAUGACGGUACCCAAAGAAUAAGCACCGGCUAACUUCGUGCCAGCAGCCGCGGUAA